rnacentral:rRNA from 1 species
GUUUCAGCCGUCGCGGUAAUACGGAGGAUGCAAGCGUUAUCCGGAUUUAUUGGGUUUAAAGGGUGCGCAGGCGGACGAUUAAGUCAGUGGUGAAAUGUAACAGCUUAACUGUUGAACUGCCAUUGAUACUGAUUAUCUAGAGUACAGACGACGUUGGCGGAAUGCGACAUGUAGCGGUGAAAUGCUUAGAGAUGUCGCAGAACACCGAUUGCGAAGGCAGCUAACGAGGAUGUAACUGACGCUCAUGCACGAAAGCGUGGGGAUCAAACAGGAUUAGAAACCCUUGUAGUCC